rnacentral:rRNA from 1 species
GACGUAGGGACCGAGCGUUGUCCGGAAUCAUUGGGCGUAAAGAGCGUGUAGGCGGCCACUUAAGUCCUGCGUGAAAUCUUGCGGCUCAACCGCAAGCGGUCGUGGGAAACUGGGUGGCUAGAGUGCGGGAGAGGAGAGUGGAAUUCCUGGUGUAGCGGUGGAAUGCGCAGAUAUCAGGAAGAACACCCGUGGCGAAGGCGGCUCUCUGGAACGCAACUGACGCUGAGACGCGAAAGCGUGGGGAGCAAACAGG